rnacentral:tRNA from 1 species
AAAAAUUUAGUUAAAAAAUAACAUUAGUCUGUCGUGCUAAAAUUAUCUGUAAGAAUAAUUUUUU